rnacentral:lncRNA from 1 species
CUCACAGUAUGAGCUCUUGGGACAUCCCGUACGAGUGCGACGGAGGGCUGAAAGGGUAGCCCGUUUUGUUGCCUCGUAUCAUGCCAUUCGGCGGCCCGCAACACACAAUGAUCUUCAGAAGGAUCUGAUUGAAGAGUGGUGGGCAUGGCAUGAACGACAAAGAGCAUGCUUUGAUUGCAUUAUUUGUAUUGUAUUGUCCAUGAACUAUUGGUUGUGUUUAUUGCAUUAUUUGUUGUACUGAACGAUAAACUAUUUGUUUGAGUUGUAAUAACUAUUUAUUGUUGAUUUAUUUUGUUUGUUUGAUCGUUUUCUCCUAUUUUUUGAAAUGUAUAUGUGGUUUGUGCGUGCUGCGCGCGCUGCAUUUUUGGGCACUGCUAGAGCGGCGCGCGCGCGCUGCAUUAUAGCGCGGCUGUUGGAGCCAGCGCCUAUCCC